rnacentral:hammerhead_ribozyme from 1 species
AUCCAACUGACGAGUCCCAAAUAGGAUAAAAUACGUGUACUGGAU